AUUGAACGCUGGCGGAAUGCUUUACACAUGCAAGUCGAGCGGCAGCGCGGGGGCAACCCUGGCGGCGAGCGGCGAACGGGUGAGUAAUACAUCGGAACGUGUCCUUGAGUGGGGGAUAGCUCGGCGAAAGCCGGAUUAAUACCGCAUAAGCUCUGCGGAGGAAAGCGGGGGACUGGUAACGGCCUCGCGCUGUUGGAGCGGCCGAUGUCGGAUUAGCUAGUUGGUGGGGUAAAGGCCCACCAAGGCGACGAUCCGUAGCUGGUCUGAGAGGAUGAUCAGCCACACUGGAACUGAGACACGGUCCAGACUCCUACGGGAGGCAGCAGUGGGAAUUUUGGACAAUGGGGGCAACCCUGAUCCAGCCAUUCCGCGUGAGUGAAGAAGGCCU
rnacentral:rRNA from 1 species